GCUAUACGCAGGAAGACCCGCU
rnacentral:rRNA from 1 species